UACGGGGGGGGCAAGCGUUGUUCGGAAUUACUGGGCGUAAAGGGCUCGUAGGCGGCCAACUAAGUCGGAUGUGAAAUCCCCAAGCUUAACUUGGGAACUGCAUCCGAUACUGGAUGGCUUGAAUCCGGGAGAGGGAUGCGGAAUUCCAGGUGUAGCGGUGAAAUGCGUAGAUAUCUGGAGGAACACCGGUGGCGAAGGCGGCAUCCUGGACCGGUAUUGACGCUGAGGCGCGAAAGCCAGGGGAGCAAACGGG
rnacentral:rRNA from 1 species